rnacentral:misc_RNA from 1 species
AUUGUUUUCAAUAAUAGCAAAUCAGUAAAACCAGUGUGUGUACAUGUAAUUAAUGACAAACACUAUAAUGGAGACAAGAAUAGCUCACCUCUUUAUGUUUUUCCACUUCUCUCAUUUCUUGGUUAGUUCUUGAACAUUUGCAUCAGGUUCCUGCUUUUCAGAUUCUUGAGAUAUUUCACCUCCUACUGUUUUUGUUGCCUGUUCUUGCUCAGAUUGAGUUGGCAGAUUUGGCACUUCUGCUUGUUGAGUUACUGUAUCUGUGGAUUCUGUCAAUUCAGUGCUCUCUUUUCCAAGAACAUUUUAUUCAAGUUUUUCUUUUUCUACAAUCUCUGCCUCAGGAAUUUCCAGUUUCUUCUGCUGCUUUUCAAAUAAGAAAGCUCCUCUCUCAGUGUUUCUCUGGCUGAUCAAUCCUUCUCUAGUUUAAUUUCCUCAGGUUCCUUUGUUGUAUUUUCUGGAUGUGUAGCUGUUAUAGCUGGAGGCUUUUCCUUCUCAGGAGGGGCUUCUUCUGAUUUUCUUUGUGCCUUAAUUUCUAGUAGAGUGCUCUAUUUCCCAGGAAGUUGAUUUGAUAAUACAAAUCAAAUAA